CGAACCCAAACCGAAAAAUCCCAAACCAAAAUUAUCCUGAAAAUCGGUAAUCCCAUCCUGAAAAAUACCGAAAUAAUCGGUAUGGGAUUGGUUUCCAAAUCCCAUUUUUUCGGUAUUCCCGAAAUCCCGAAAUGUUUUUUUUCUUUAGCUUUCGGUUCCCACUUCCUAAGUCAAAAGCAGGAGCCUUUUGGCUUCCACUCACAGAAGGCACCAAAAUAUUAUUAAAAAAUUGGGAAAGGUACAAAUUGGCUCACAGAAGGCACCAAAAUAUUAUUAAAAAAUUGGGAAAGGCACAAAUUGGCUUUGUGUUUCGAUUCAGACUUCCCACCUCAAAAGCAGGAGCCUUUUGGCUCCCACUAACAGAAGGCGCAGAGAGCAGCACUUGAAGCAGAGAGCAUCACUCAUGGGGCAGAGAACAUCACUCUUCAUGUUGAGAAGCAGAGAGGAGAAGAGAGAGGAAGGAGUUACUGCCGAAAGCUCUUGAGUUUGGUUUUGACAGCAGCACUCUUCGUGUUGAGAAGCAGAGAGGGCAAAGAGCUACUGCCGAAAGCUCUCUCAAAUCUUCGAAGCUCGACCCAUAUCUUUCUCUUUCCUCUCUGAAGCUUUCUCUGAAUUAGGGUUCGAAUGAGGAUUUAUAAAUUAGGAAUUUACGAUUUAGAGCUUUUGAUUGUUUUGAUUUGGAUUUGGAUUUCUUGAUUAAUUUUCUGGGGAUUUCUGGAUUAAUUUUAUGUGGAUUUGGUUGAUUUGGAUUUUUGGAUUUCCAUGGUCAAUUUCUCCUUUGCAUGUUCGAUUUCUUUUCUGCUUUGCAUGCUCAAUAUGCAGGUUUGAAUCUUUUCUUCUUUGCAUGCUCGAUCUGCAGGUUUGAAUCUUUUCUGCUUUGCAUGCUCGAUCUGCAGGUUUGAAUUGAAUUGAAUUGAAUUUAUCAGCUUCUUCCAUUAACAAGAAGCCAAAUUUUUUUUGAAUUGAAAACCGAAACCGUACCGAAAUCCCGAAAAUAUUUCGGGAAUCCCGAAAUUCGGGAAUACCGAAAUUUUGGUUUGGGAUCGGGAUUCGGAUUUUCAUCCCAAAAAGGAUCGGUUUGGGAUUCGGGAUCCCAUUUUUGGGACGGGAUCCCAUACCGAUCCAGCCCUAAGUGUAAAUACAAAAGCACUAGUUUGC
rnacentral:lncRNA from 1 species